rnacentral:rRNA from 1 species
AGCGCAACCCCUGCUGCCAGUUGCAACGGGUGAAGCCGGGCACUCUGGCGGGACUGCCAUCGACAAGAUGGAGGAAGGUGGGGAUGACGUCAAGUCAUCAUGGCCCUUAUGUCCAGGGCGACACACGUGCUACAAUGGCCGGCACAGCGGGAAGCGAGGCAGUGAUGCCGAGCGGAUCCCUUAAAGCCGGUCUCAGUUCGGAUUGAAGUCUGCAACUCGACUUCAUGAAGCUGGAAUCGCUAGUAAUCGCAGAUCAGCCGAGCUGCGGUGAAUACGUUCCCGGGCCUU